GACGAACGCUGGCGGCGUGCCUAACGCAUGCAAGUCGAACGGAGAUAUGAUUUCGGUGGUAUCUUAGUGGCGAACGGGUGAGUAACGCGUGAACAACCUGACUCUAAGAGGGGGAUAACACUCGGAAACGGGUGCUAAUACCGCAUAAGACCACGACCCGGCAUCGGGAUGAGGUCAAAGGAGCAAUCCGCUGAGAGAGGGGCUCGCGUCCCAUUAGAUAGAUGGCGGGGUAACGGCCCACCAUGUCAACGAUGGGUAGCCGAGCUGAGAGGCUGAUCGGCCACACUGGAACUGAGACACGGUCCAGACUCCUACGGGAGGCAGCAGUGGGGAAUAUUGGGCAAUGGGCGCAAGCCUAACCCAGCAACGCCGCGUGAGGGAAGAAGGCCUUCGGGUCGUAAAGCUCUGUCCUCAAGGAAGAUAAUGACGGUACUUGAGGAGGAAGCCCCGGCUAACUACGUGCCAGCAGCCGCGGUAA
rnacentral:rRNA from 1 species